rnacentral:rRNA from 1 species
AUUGAACGCUAGCGGGAUGCUUUACACAUGCAAGUCGAACGGCAGCGCGGACUUCGGUCUGGCGGCGAGUGGCGAACGGGUGAGUAAUGUAUCGGAACGUGCCCAGUAGCGGGGGAUAACUACGCGAAAGCGUAGCUAAUACCGCAUACGCCCUACGGGGGAAAGCAGGGGAUCGUAAGACCUUGCACUAUUGGAGCGGCCGAUAUCGGAUUAGCUAGUUGGUGAGGUAACGGCUCACCAAGGCGACGAUCCGUAGCUGGUUGGAGAGGACGACCAGCCACACUGGGACUGAGACACGGCCCAGACUCCUACGGGAGGCAGCAGUGGGGAAUUUUGGACAAUGGGGGCAACCCUGAUCCAGCCAUCCCGCGUGUGCGAUGAAGGCCUUCGGGUCGUAAAGCACUUUUGGCAGGAAAGAAACGUCGCGGGCUAAUACCCCGUGGAACUGACGGUACCUGCAGAAUAAGCACCGGCUAACUACGUG